CCUACGGGGGGCAGCAGUGAGGAAUAUUGGUCAAUGGGCUUACGCCUGAACCAGCCAAGUCGCGUGAGGGAAGACUGCCCUAUGGGUUGUAAACCUCUUUUGUCAGGGAGCAACGCCGGCUACGUGUAGCCGGACUGAGAGUACCUGAAGAAAAAGCAUCGGCUAACUCCGUGCCAGCAGCCGCGGUAAUACGGAGGAUGCGAGCGUUAUCCGGAUUUAUUGGGUUUAAAGGGUGCGUAGGCGGAAUGCCAAGUCAGCGGUAAAAGCGCGGGGUUCAACCGCGCUCCGCCGUUGAAACUGGCGUUCUUGAGUGGGCGAGAAGUAUGCGGAAUGCGUGGUGUAGCGGUGAAAUGCAUAGAUAUCACGCAGAACUCCGAUUGCGAAGGCAGCAUACCGGCGCGCAACUGACGCUGAAGCACGAAAGCGUGGGUAUCGAACAGGAUUAGAUACCCCUGUAGUC
rnacentral:rRNA from 1 species